rnacentral:rRNA from 1 species
GUAAAAGUCGUAACAAGGUUUCCGUAGGUGAACCUGCGGAAGGAUCAUUACCUUUUAUUCAGCAUGGGAGUCUGCAGUCCGCUGUAGUUCCCUGUCUGUAUCCAUGUCUUUUGCGUACUUGAAUGUUUCCUCGGCGGCUUACCCCGCCGAACGGACAACCAUAUAACCUUUUUUUUGCAAUUGCAAUCAGCGUCUGAAUAGAUAUAUAAUAUUUACAACUUUCAACAACGGAUCUCUUGGUUCUGGCAUCGAUGAAGAACGCAGCGAAAUGCGAUAAGUAGUGUGAAUUGCAGAAUUCAGUGAAUCAUCGAAUCUUUGAACGCACAUUGCGCCCCUUGGUAUUCCAUGGGGCAUGCCUGUUCGAGCGUCAUUUGUACCCUCAAGCUCUGCUUGGUGUUGGGUGUUUGUCGGGUUCUUUGCAAUCCGACUCGCCUUAAAUGUAUUGGCAGCCGGCGUAUUGGCGUAUGAGCGCAGCACAUUUUGCGAUCGUAGCCGCUAUUCUGGCAUCCAACAAGUCUACAAUUAUCACUUUUGACCUCGGAUCAGGUAGGGAUACCCGCUGAACUUAAGCA